GGGAGAGAGAGAAAGUCAGCCCAGCCCAGCUUGCGUCCAGUGUCUACCCCUGGACCAAUUUGCUGCUCCAGAUUUGCAUAUGUGGAAGACCAGAAUGUGGAUCAUACUUCUUUCAACUAGACUUAGCCCCUAGCAUAAUGCCUUGUACCAACAGAUACCUCUGCAUCUGGUCCUCCUGGCUGAAAACAAGACAACUGUGGAAUAGUUUCUACUGCAGCAGCUGUAGAAAGAUAUGUUAGAGUGUCAAUAAAUGGCUGUAGUCCCAGUAACAAAAUCCCUAGAAAGAAACGAUUGGCCGAGGGUGCCCAGGCCUGGCCCAUCGACUAUAGCCGGGAGUCAGAAUUACAUAGUGCAUGGCUGCUUCCAGAACAACUAGAGCAACUAUGGCUGAGGAGGGCUGUUUUAUGAAAAGCUUGGAAAUGCUCAGACAAAACAUUGA